UACGGAGGAUGCGAGCGUUAUCCGGAUUUAUUGGGUUUAAAGGGUGCGUAGGCGGAUCGUUAAGUCAGUGGUCAAAUUGAGGGGCUCAACCCCUUCCCGCCAUUGAAACUGGCGAUCUUGAGUGGAAGAGAAGUAUGCGGAAUGCGUGGUGUAGCGGUGAAAUGCAUAGAUAUCACGCAGAACCCCGAUUGCGAAGGCAGCAUGCCGGCUUCCUACUGACGCUGAAGCUCGAAAGCGUGGGGAUCGAACAGG
rnacentral:rRNA from 1 species